GGGGCCCGUGAUUUCCUCUGACUUCCCGAUUCUGGUUCUCUCAGUAUGGAGCUGAAGCGGUCCGUCCUCCUCUGGAGUAAAAAUACAAACAGAGUUCUUUACAUCUCUUAACAGAGUCAACCCGCUUCUACUAGCUUACCCAGUACCUGCUACCUCUGGCUCACCUAUACAUCACUCUUGCCGCUGACUGGAUCCAGAGUACGCAGAAACACUGCAACCCCUUUAAACACAGGAAACAGAGGCAGACACACAGGACACAGGAGAGUCAAGAAGCUACCAGAGCGGACUCCUGGGUGACAGACGCCUCCUGAGAAGGUCCUCUCUCCUGACCCUCUUACAUCGCCACUGCAAUCAACGAAGACAACUGGAACACUACCUACCUGAGCUCCCUAAGCAACAGGUUUAAAUUAAGGUUUAAUUUAAAUUAAGGUUUAAAUUAAGGAUCCACAAGAAAAUAGGGGGAAAAAAAAAUCAUACAAAAACCAUUCCUGUAUUUGGCCAUUUAAAAAAGCCAACAUUAAAUUG